AGCUCACCAAAUUGUGCAUCAGCUACAGGCAGCAGGAGAUCACUCAGUUAUUUUUUCAGUGUUUUUCCAUAUGUCUCAGAAAGAGGCUGAUAAUAUUUUGCAGUGUCCUUAGAGAAUUCAUCUCUGAGGUCUAGGUAUCUCCUCUGGUACCACAAAGGAAAUACUGUAUUAUUGGGUCCCAGCAGUGCAGAGAGCAGUCAGCAUCCCAUCAUUUCCUGUUGCUGUCACUUGCUGCAGAGAAGCGGCGCUGACAGGUUACUGUAGAGAGCAGAGAGCUGUUGGCAGAAGAGAUCAUCUUUCUUCCAGAGGAGAUCUUCAGGGAGAAUUUCUCAGCAUGUUUUUAUUUUUCAUCUAAGAGUGGCCAGACACUGUUUAAGCAGUAAAGGACCAUCAACAGGACACUACAUACUUUUCACCUUACUCUGUGUAUGAAGUGCAGAAAUUGCAUGCCUUCUAAAUGCCACACAGUUUUUGGUAAAAUGAAGAUGGUGCAUUCCAGCUGCUCUGUCACUGUAUGCUAACAUAGGCACAGCCAUGUGCUUCUCCUCUUGGAGGAACAAGGUGCAGACCCUUCACAAGAGCCUGAAGGAAAUCAUCCAAUUAGACUAACAGCUGCAGAGAUUGGAAUAAGCCUUGCAUAUUACAAAAUUAAAGAAAGUGCAGCUGAGUACUAUGGAAAGGAGCUAAGCUUUCUUUGGCUGACAUCAGACUACUUCAUCUUCUCUUUCAAUAGUUAGAAGACUACUUUCAAGGCCAGAAAAACCAUUUACUUCCACUUUGUCCUGGAUUCAGAAAAAAGAGCCUAUCCAGAUAGAUUGCUCAUUCCUCUUGCAUGGAAAAGAAAUGACUUACUCAUUUUUCCUGGCUGAUGCUGCAAUACAUCUUUCCCUAAAAAAGGUUGCAGGACUGACAGGAGCAAAAAAGGAAAAGAUUAAUUGUUGUGAAGUUAUACAUUAAUGCUUGGGAUACAUGAGAAGAAAAAUUAAUGUUUCCGUCUUCCCUAUCCAAAUCAAUCAAUCAACUUUCACAACAGAAUGCAGUGAUGAAGUUUGAUGGGGGGUAUGUGGACAGAAGACAUUGGACUUACCAAGAUCUGUGAAUAAAUCCCUGCAUUUGAUCAUGAAGUUCCAGUCUGACAAGUUGUUGGAGAAAAGAUAACACAAAAUCCUGAAUUCAUUUAAAUAUUCUUUUAUAAUCAUUAUUUUGAUCAUUAUCUUGAUCAUGUUUCUUAAAUAAUCUUUCAUCCUAGUAAUGGCAGUCAGUCUCAGAGUUUAAUAAUUUUCUUAGUUUUACCCUUUAAGAUAUUUUAAAAUACCAUGGCAUAUCAAAUCUUGUUCUGCAGAAGUGAUCCUCAGCUAAGUGCUACUGGCCUGCUAAAUAAUUUCAUCACUGCUCUUCUAUAAGAAUUAAAAUUUAUUACAUGUCUUGCUUUAAUAGACAGAUGAGAGGAAGAAAAUUAUAAAUUGUCUGACACUUGCAUGCCAUUUAAAUGCGUAUGUAACUCAAUACAUCAAUCUUGAACAUUUUGGCUAUUACUAUUACGGAAAAUGGUAGAAAAUCUAAAGGGGGAAGGAAGAGCAGAAAAUCUUACACAGGACAAAUAAGUGUGUGUUUCAGAAGGGCAGCAGUUUGACCCGAUUGUACUAUAUAUUGUUACAAAGCAAGAAUAAAGAACAGUUUUCUCAUUAAUUUGUGUUUUUUAACCUCAAAACGCUUGAAGAACUGUUGGCAAAAAUUUGUGAAACUUUAACAAGAGCCAAAAUUGCCAUCAGGAGGCAUGAGGAGAGGACAGGUUAAUGUCCUUCUGCAUGUACAUUACCAUAUGCUUGAGUGAAGUUUUGUAGAGCUUUGUCUUCUUAGAGUCUUAUGUUCAAAUAAUUUACUUGGAUGAACUUAUGCCUGCUCACAUUCGUGUAGCUGACUGACUCAUAACUGCUGCUUAUAUUAGCUGAUAGCAAAAUGGAGAAAUCAGGGCCUAAUUUCAAUUAAAAGACAGAGAAUGAUCUUUGAGAAAAUGCAUUUUAGUCUCUUUUAAAAAUGCAUUAUGCCUUCUGUCUCAUUUAUAGCUGAAUGGUCAUUUUAUUACCAGACGGUUUUAGCACUGUAUCACUGAUGUGUAGAUAAGGAAUUCAAGUCUCUGAGACUGCUGUUUCUUAGAGGGAAUUUUUUAUUUUACUCCUUAAUAACGAAUUUAUAACUUUAUUUCUUAAAUCUUGGUAUUUCACGUUAUAAAGACUGGUACUGGUUGAAGGCACUAAAAGCAGUAAUUCAAAUGCCGCAGUGUUAUUUCAAAUCACCAAGACCUUUAGUUGCCAAUUCUUCAGAGAAUGUGCAACUGCAGUACUGCACAAAGCAGAGAUCAAACUCCUCUUUUUAUUGAAUUCAAUGCUGAAAAGCCAGCUGAUCUCAGCAGCAGGAGGUUAGGUGUCAUCUUUUCCCAGAUGGAGGAAGCUGCACAGCUGGAAAGUCAAUCUCACAGUCUCACAUUUAAGAAUUUUCUAAUUACUUUAGUAUUGCAAUCAAACAAAUUUUGUAUGUUAAGAUCUGCCUAUUAGCAUGUAUACAAUUAUUUCUUUAAGCUAUUAUGUCACUAUUGAAUUUCUGCUUCUGGUUUCAUGAUUUACUGCUUUGAUGUAGCUGAAAGCUGUACUUAUUGCAGUACUGUGAAAGCUGAAAAGCAUGCCUUGUCACAUUGUGUUGUCUCAUUUCAGGUUUGUCUCAUAGGUCAAACUGAUGCACCUUUGCAAACAGGAGAGCAUCAGUACUUUUACCAAAGCAAAUUUUUGUUCUGAGGGGUAAAAGGUAGGUACUGUAGGUACUCAUAAGGAAAUAUCUAAUUUUGCUACAGUUUUAUUUAGUUGUACCUAAAGGAUCAAAAUUUUACUGUAUAGGAUUUUAGAAAAUGAGACCAUCAAUGUCAAUUGUAUUAAUCAAAGGUAUUAAACAUGACAGCUAAAUAUGUCAAAAUUCUUUGUUCCCAAAUAAACUUGAUUUCCAAAACACUGAAGAUUAAAAUACCUGCAAUUAAGUGAAGAUUCUCAUCAAAACUUGUUUUUAUGAGUCCAGGAUGUAAACUUUGAGCCACUAAAUUAUUUGCAGUUCACCUUAUUAGAGUAUGAAUGUCACCAGUUAUUCACACACACCGUAAACAACUAUGUCCCUUCUUUAAUCUAUAAAAUUGUGACACAUGUACCUUCUUUUUUAAAUUUCUUCUAGUUUUGUGGGCACAUGUUUGUAUUUCAUCUGUAUUAGUGUGUGUUAAAUGAUAUCUUUCACUUCCUGUCUUAAGCACUGUUGGAGUCAGUCCUGGGGGAUAUGAGUUAAGUGAAGAAUAAAGCAAGG